UACGUAGGGUGCGAGCGUUAAUCGGAAUUACUGGGCGUAAAGCGUGCGCAGGCGGUUCGUUGUGUCGGCGGUGAAAGCCCCGGGCUUAACCUGGGAAUGGCCGUUGAAACUGGCGAACUGGAGUGUGGCAGAGGGGGGUGGAAUUCCGCGUGUAGCAGUGAAAUGCGUAGAGAUGCGGAGGAACACCGGUGGCGAAGGCGGGUCUCUGGGCAGUAACUGACGCUGAGGAGCGAAAGCGUGGGGAGCGAACAGG
rnacentral:rRNA from 1 species